rnacentral:rRNA from 1 species
UGAGGAAUACAUCGGAAUCUACCUUUUCCUGGGGGAUAACGUAGGGAAACUUACGCUAAUACCGCAUACGACCUACGGGUGAAAGUGGGGGACCGCAAGGCCUCACGCGAUUAGAUGAGCCGAUGUCCGAUUAGCUAGUUGGCGGGGUAAUGGCCCACCAAGGCGACGAUCGGUAGCUGGUCUGAGAGGAUGAUCAGCCACACUGGAACUGAGACACGGUCCAGACUCCUACGGGAGGCAGCAGUGGGGAAUAUUGGACAAUGGGCGCAAGCCUGAUCCAGCCAUACCGCGUGGGUGAAGAAGGCCUUCGGGUUGUAAAGCCCUUUUGUUGGGAAAGAAAUCCUAUCGGUUAAUAACCGGUGGGGAUGACGGUACCCAAAGAAUAAGCACCGGCUAACUUCGUGCCAGCAGCCGCGGUAAUACGAAGGGUGUCGGAAUUACUGGGCGUAAAGCGUGCGUAGGUGGUGGUUUAAGUCCCUUGUGAAAGCCCUGGGCUCAACCUGGGAAUUGCAGUGGAUACUGGAUCACUAGAGUGUGGUAGAGGGAUGCGGAAUUUCUGGUGUAGCAGUGAAAUGCGUAGAGAUCAGAAGGAACAUCCGUGGCGAAGGCGGCAUCCUGGGCCAACACUGACACUGAGGCACGAAAGCGUGGGGAGCAAACAGGAUUAGAUACCCUGGUAGUCCACGCCCUAAACGAUGCGAACUGGAUGUUGGGUGCAACUUGGCACCCAGUAUCGAAGCUAACGCGUUAAGUUCGCCGCCUGGGGAGUACGGUCGCAAGACUGAAACUCAAAGGAAUUGACGGGGGCCCGCACAAGCGGUGGAGUAUGUGGUUUAAUUCGAUGCAACGCGAAGAACCUUACCUGGUCUUGACAUCCACGGAACUUUCCAGAGAUGGAUUGGUGCCUUCGGGAACCGUGAGACUGGUGCUGCAUGGCUGUCGUCAGCUCGUGUCGUGGAGAUGUUGGGUUAAGUCCCGCAACGAGCGCAACCCUUGUCCUUAGUUGCCAGCACGUAAUGGUGGGAACUCUAAGGAGACCGCCGGUGAAAACCGGAAGAAGGUGGGAUGACGUCAGUCAUCUGGCCUUACAACCAGGGCUACACACGUACUACAAUGGUGGGGACAGAGGGCUGCAAA